UGAGAGACAGAGAGCGAGAGGCAGAGACACAGGCAGAGGGAGAAGCAGGCUCCAUGCGGGGAGCCGGACGUGGGACUCGAUCCCAGGACCCCGGGGGUCACGACCUGGGCCAAAGGCAGAUGCUCAACCACUGAGCCACCCAGGUGGCCCCCCGGGGGUGAUUUCUAUGCACACGCAAGUUUGCGAAGCACUGCUCUACUGCUGGAUGCAGGAACUAGAGAAAACUUCAGCCACUCUUGGGGGGUUGCAGUGUGGCGGCUUCGUUUCUACACGAGGGGCUCUAGGACCGACGAGCUGGCGGGGAAGGGGAAGGCUAUGGGAUUUGCCUGGAGGACGAGCAUGCAUGGCUGGCAUCCUACUUUGGCUCAGGAGCGACCCAGAGCUACCUUAGAACGAGCGAUGUCGCCCAGAAUCUGCCCGAAGGCCUCAGACGUCCCACCCUGGUGCAGCUAGCAGUUUCCUGGAAUUUUACAGAAAUUUCGUUCUCCGAAACACCCGAGAUUUUGGUUUUCAAAAAUAAUUCAGGAAUGCAGAUCCUCCCUCUCCUUGCACGCGGUGCUUGGGAGCUCAAGUCCAACGGCACUGAAAGAGGACUUGCCAGUCCUCCCCCCCAAGUUCAGCGGGAGGUCGGGGAGGUGGUUAGAGACCACACCUUCCCUCGAGGCGGUACCUUAGAGACCGAGGCUCUUGAGUGGCAAUCUCUGUGUUACCACCUCGUGCUUCCAAAAAGAUGACCCAAAACAAACAAACAAAAAAAAAAAAAAAAAGAUGACCCGAGGCCAGAGUCAGGGAAGAGAGCAUGGAGAAAGUAGGUGAGCUUUACCCUGAAGAAGCCCUAAGAUGGUCUGUGGCCACCAUCUCCCUAGCUCCCAGCGCUGCCAGUACUCUUCUGGGACUUGAGAUUGUCUUCAAAAAAAGAAAACAAACAAAAAAAACCCUGCCAUUUAGCAGGAAGAGAAAUCCUGUCUUUGUGAUAUAUAUUGAAAAUGAAAAAAAAAAAAAAUGAAGCUCCCUAAUUCCAAUAAGUUAACAUUUGUGACCUCACUGUGUGCCAAAAGUUGCCAGACAAAAUAUAGAACAUUUAAAUUUGUGGGUUUUUUU
rnacentral:lncRNA from 1 species